rnacentral:tRNA from 1 species
GCCGUCGUAGCUCAGCAGGUAGAGCAACGCCAUGGUAAGGCGUAGGUCGUCAGUUCGACUCUGAUCGUCGGCUCCA